rnacentral:rRNA from 1 species
UGGGGAAUAUUGCACAAUGGGGGAAACCCUGAUGCAGCGACGCCGCGUGAGCGAAGAAGGCUUUCGAGUCGUAAAGCUCUGUCCGAUGAGAAGAUAAUGACGGUAUCAUAGGAGGAAGCCCUGGCUAAAUACGUGCCAGCAGCCGCGGUAAUACGUAUGGGGCGAGCGUUGUCCGGAAUUAUUGGGCGUAAAGGGUACGUAGGUGGUUUUUUAAGUCAGGUGUCAAAGCGUGGAGCUUAACUCCAUUAAGCACUUGAAACUGAAAGACUUGAGUGAAGGAGAGGAAAGUGGAAUUCCUAGUGUAGCGGUGAAAUGCGUAGAUAUUAGGAGGAAUACCGGUGGCGAGGGCGACUUUCUGGACUUUUACUGACGCUCAGGUACGAAAGCGUGGGGAGCAAAAAGG